UGUGCACGCUAUUAAAGCUUGAUGCUGAGGUCAGUUUCUGGCCGAUGAGCUCUCAAGUGUCGGAAGUGUGCGACAGCAAAGGAUGGCAGGGUUUUCGCUAACGCCAGGAGAGGGAGGGACUCCCUCUAGGAUUGGAGUUUGAUAGUAGGCCCUGCCACAUGC
ensembl:snoRNA SNORA62 Small nucleolar RNA SNORA62/SNORA6 family